UGCUAAUUUGUUUGAGGUUUGGCUUUGAAAUAAGCCCUAAAUGUAUGGGGUGGAAUAUUUUUGGUUGAUUGCUUUCAAAAUCUACCUUAGCCUUGCUUGUUUCUCCAAUUCUGCAUAUUCUAGCUUUAAAGUCAGUUGUUCCUUCACUAACAGCUACCACACAAUACACUUAAAAAUCCUAUUACAACAAAAUAAUUGUAAUAAUUGUUGCAAAAUAAUUUCCCCGUAGGACGUACUCAAUGGGAAGACUUCAAAGUGGUAUCCUCCGAAGUCCUUACGCCAGGUGCCUGUCUACCUUGACAGUGAGGAACAACAGGACAACCUUUUUGCUUUUCUGAAGUCAGUAUUACAUAAGACACCAACGAAACUGAGCUUCACAGAUGAAGUGCAGUUAAUCUGUGGUGGUCUAUUUCCAGAGGUAUGCAUAACAAUAUAAUGUAUUGUGCAUGUUUCUGCCCUUUCAAACUCUACUGUAUAUUAUACCAUAUGCUGCUUAUCUACAGACCAUAUUUCAAUUAACAAUUUUCUUUUGAUAGGCCAUCAUAUAUGGCCUGGCUGGGCUUCAGAAUUUGUCUCUGAAGGAUGCUGAGCAGGCCUUCCUCUCUGGUCCACAUUAUCAUCACAGUGAAGUGGAGGAAUUUAACAGAAUGAUAGAGAAACGAUAGAGAAACGAUUGAGAAAAGAAGGGAGAGCAUCCAGUUGGUAGGUAGUGCUGCUGCAUACAUCACAGUGUGUGCUUUAAAUAUUUAAAGGACAGGAAAAGUCAGAUCUCUUGCAUCUCUCUCUAUUAUUUUUUUUUUCUCGGUCCAGAUGUGCUUUAUUGACAUGAAUGUUUCAAGAACCUGUUCACCCAAAUCUUUGAACAGUAUGCAAUAACAGUAAUAUGAACAUUAUUUGGUAUGAAGAUUGAUAUAAUUUUGUAUCGUAUAUAAUGUGUGUGUUCUGUGGUGACUAAGAUCUUUAAAAUUUGAAAUUAAAAAUUAGAGAGUUGAACAAGUUCAACUAAAUGUUCCUUAUUUCAUUCACUUCUCUAUCUUUCUCUCUCUUAGGAGUCAGUGAAGACGUUGUGCAUGAAGUUCUUCCUAUGUGGUUCACGUCAUGAACAAAUUUGUUUUUGUGUGUGUUCAAAUUCAACUGUUGCAAUAUAUUAUUUUAUAAAAUAUACACAAUCUUAAAUCUACCCCCAGAGUCAUCCUUGUGUUUUCCCUCUGUACUUGAAAAUGUGAUUUACUGAAAAGGCUAUACCAUUCCUUGUUUAUUUUACUUGAUGAGUUAUUAAAUUAUGCAACUUGGACCCAAUAAUUACUCAACAUUCCUAGAAACCUGAUUUAAUUGCAAUAAAGAAAGCAGUAUUUGGGUGUAAUAAACCUUUAAAAACCUCAAAAAAAAAAAAA